GACGAACCGAGCGAACGUUGUUCGGAAUCACUGGGCUUAAAGGGCGCGUAGGCGGCUUGCCAAGUCAGGGGUGAAAUCCUCCAGCUCAACUGGAGAAGUGCCUUUGAUACUGGCGGGCUUGAGGGAGGUAGGGGUAUGUGGAACUGAUGGUGGAGCGGUGAAAUGCGUUGAUAUCAUCAGGAACGCCGGUGGCGAAAGCGACGUACUGGACCUCUUCUGACGCUGAGGCGCGAAAGCUAGGGGAGCAAACGGG
rnacentral:rRNA from 1 species